rnacentral:misc_RNA from 1 species
GAUGAAGAACGCAGUGAAAUGCGAUAAGUAAUGUGAAUUGCAGAAUUCAGUGAAUCAUCGAAUCUUUGAACGCACAUUGCGCCCGCCAGCAUUCUGGCGGGCAUGCCUGUUCGAGCGUCAUUUCAACCCUCAAGCUCUGCUUGGUGUUGGGGCCCUACGGUUGACGUAGGCCCUUAAAGGUAGUGGCGGACCCUCUCGGAGCCUCCUUUGCGUAGUAACUAACGUCUCGCAUUGGGAUUCGGAGGGACUCUUGCCGUAAAACCCCCAAAUUUUCUAAUGGUUGACCUCGGAUCAGGUAGGAAUACCCGCUGAACUUAAGCAUAUCAAUAAGCGGAGGA